UGAGGAAUAUUGGUCAAUGGGCGGAAGCCUGAACCAGCCAAGUCGCGUGAGGGAUUAAGGCCCUAUGGGUCGUAAACCUCUUUUGUCAGGGAGCAAGGCCUCUCACGUGUGGGAGGUUGGAGAGUACCUGAAGAAAAAGCAUCGGCUAACUCCGUGCC
rnacentral:rRNA from 1 species